UUGCUCGCUCUUUCCAUAUGGAGCUAGGAGCGUUUUCCGGCUGGACGCCCGAAGACUGUGAAGUACGAUGAUUGUGACGACAAAGGCGACCCACUACGGUGACCCACUUGGGCUUACAAGUGGGAUGUGUUAAAUGAGACGACAGAUGAUCCCUCGGUCAUGUACAAGUUGUACCAGAGCGAGCUUGACGCGAUCACGCCUGAGCAGGUGAACUGA
rnacentral:rRNA from 1 species